rnacentral:lncRNA from 1 species
GGGAGGGGAGAGGGGCUAGAGAUUAUGUUCAAUCACCAACUGUCAAUGAUUUAAUCAAUCAUGCUUAUGUAAUGAAACUUCUACGAAAACCCAAAAGGACUGGGUUCAGAGAGCUUUUGGGUUGGUGGACACAUAGAGAGUGGGGAGAGUGGUGUACCCGCAGAGGGCAUGGAAGCUUCACACCCUUUCCCCAUACCUUGCGCUAUGCAUCUCCUUCAUCUGGCUGUUCCUGAGUUGUAUCCUUUCAUAAGAAACCAGUGCUCUAGUCCUUUGUAUUUGCUCUUCAAGAUUCCUGCAAAGCAAUCAUCUCAAGUAUGUUAGUGAACGAUUUCUACUCAGCAGUGUGGUCUCUGCUCCACCCAACCAGUCCCAAACACCCCUACCUCCAACCUCCUCCUUUGUCUAAAGGUGAAGCUGGUAUUUAAGGGGGUGUCUUCAGCCAUUUUGGUGAGUUACUCAAUUUUCCUGGGUUUCUCCCACGUAUAUAUGUUAUUAAACUUAGUCUGAUUUUCUCCUGUUACUCUGUCUCAUGUCAAUUUAAUUCUUACACAAGCCAGAAGGACCUAGAGAGUAGAGGAAUGGCUCUUCCUCCCCUACAAGAAUAAGAAAAGUAAAUCAAACAUGCAUAAAAAUUAGCACA